UAAUGCGCAUUCCUCUUGGCUUCCUGAAGUAACUUUCACGUCGGAGAGGGACCAACAUCACUGUACCACCAACUAUGAUGUUUCCCGGACUGUCUUGAAAUAAAGUGCCUUCCUGACCUCCCCAUUGCUGUCAGAAUGUCCUCCAUAGACCCCUAUCAGUACAUCAUAGUUGAGCAUCAGUAUUCUCAUAGAUUGAAAGUAAA